rnacentral:rRNA from 1 species
GUCGAGAAUCUUCCGCAAUGCGCGAAAGCGUGACGGAGCGACACCGCGUGAUGGAUGAAGUCCUUCGGGGCGUAAACAUCUUUUAUAAAGGAGGAAAUUUUUGACGUUACUUUAUGAAUAAGGGGCUCCCAAUCUCGUGCCAGCAGGAGCGGUAAUACGAGAGCCUCAAGCGUUAUCCGGAAUCAUUGGGCGUAAAGGGUGCGUAGGUGGUUUGAUUAGUCUCCCGUUAAAACUUCGAGCUUAAAUCGAAAAGAGCGGGGGAAACGGUCAAACUAGAGUAUGUGAGAGGUGUGUGGAACUCAUGGUGUAGGGGUGAAAUCCGUUGAUAUCAUGGGGAACACCAAAAGCGAAGGCAGCACACUGGCACAUCACUGACACUGAGGCACGAAACCUAAGGUAGCGAAUGGGAUUAGAAACCCCUGUAGUCC